rnacentral:tRNA from 1 species
CACUUAAAAAAUCCGUCGACUUUAGAAAUCGUGAGGGUUCAAGUCCCUCUAUCCCCA